rnacentral:rRNA from 1 species
AGCGUACACGGUGGAUGCCCUGGCAGUCAGAGGCGAUGAAGGACGUGCUAAUCUGCGAUAAGCGUCGGUAAGGUGAUAUGAACCGUUAUAACCGGCGAUUUCCGAAUGGGGAAACCCAGUGUGAUUCGUCACACUAUCAUUAACUGAAUCCAUAGGUUAAUGAGGCGAACCGGGGGAACUGAAACAUCUAAGUACCCCGAGGAAAAGAAAUCAACCGAGAUUCCCCCAGUAGCGGCGAGCGAACGGGGAGGAGCCCAGAGCCUGAAUCAGUGUGUGUGUUAGUGGAAGCGUCUGGAAAGGCGCGCGAUACAGGGUGACAGCCCCGUACACAAAAAUGCACAUGCUGUGAGCUCGAUGAGUAGGGCGGGACACGUGGUAUCCUGUCUGAAUAUGGGGGGACCAUCCUCCAAGGCUAAAUACUCCUGACUGACCGAUAGUGAACCAGUACCGUGAGGGAAAGGCGAAAAGAACCCCGGCGAGGGGAGUGAAAAAGAACCUGAAACCGUGUACGUACAAGCAGUGGGAGCACGCUUAGGCGUGUGACUGCGUACCUUUUGUAUAAUGGGUCAGCGACUUAUAUUCUGUAGCAAGGUUAACCGAAUAGGGGAGCCGAAGGGAAACCGAGUCUUAACUGGGCGUUAAGUUGCAGGGUAUAGACCCGAAACCCGGUGAUCUAGCCAUGGGCAGGUUGAAGGUUGGGUAACACUAACUGGAGGACCGAACCGACUAAUGUUGAAAAAUUAGCGGAUGACUUGUGGCUGGGGGUGAAAGGCCAAUCAAACCGGGAGAUAGCUGGUUCUCCCCGAAAGCUAUUUAGGUAGCGCCUCGUGAAUUCAUCUCCGGGGGUAGAGCACUGUUUCGGCAAGGGGGUCAUCCCGACUUACCAACCCGAUGCAAACUGCGAAUACCGGAGAAUGUUAUCACGGGAGACACACGGCGGGUGCUAACGUCCGUCGUGAAGAGGGAAACAACCCAGACCGCCAGCUAAGGUCCCAAAGUCAUGGUUAAGUGGGAAACGAUGUGGGAAGGCCCAGACAGCCAGGAUGUUGGCUUAGAAGCAGCCAUCAUUUAAAGAAAGCGUAAUAGCUCACUGGUCGAGUCGGCCUGCGCGGAAGAUGUAACGGGGCUAAACCAUGCACCGAAGCUGCGGCAGCGACACUAUGUGUUGUUGGGUAGGGGAGCGUUCUGUAAGCCUGUGAAGGUGUGCUGUGAGGCAUGCUGGAGGUAUCAGAAGUGCGAAUGCUGACAUAAGUAACGAUAAAGCGGGUGAAAAGCCCGCUCGCCGGAAGACCAAGGGUUCCUGUCCAACGUUAAUCGGGGCAGGGUGAGUCGACCCCUAAGGCGAGGCCGAAAGGCGUAGUCGAUGGGAAACAGGUUAAUAUUCCUGUACUUGGUGUUACUGCGAAGGGGGGACGGAGAAGGCUAUGUUGGCCGGGCGACGGUUGUCCCGGUUUAAGCGUGUAGGCUGGUUUUCCAGGCAAAUCCGGAAAAUCAAGGCUGAGGCGUGAUGACGAGGCACUACGGUGCUGAAGCAACAAAUGCCCUGCUUCCAGGAAAAGCCUCUAAGCAUCAGGUAACAUCAAAUCGUACCCCAAACCGACACAGGUGGUCAGGUAGAGAAUACCAAGGCGCUUGAGAGAACUCGGGUGAAGGAACUAGGCAAAAUGGUGCCGUAACUUCGGGAGAAGGCACGCUGAUAUGUAGGUGAAGUCCCUCGCGGAUGGAGCUGAAAUCAGUCGAAGAUACCAGCUGGCUGCAACUGUUUAUUAAAAACACAGCACUGUGCAAACACGAAAGUGGACGUAUACGGUGUGACGCCUGCCCGGUGCCGGAAGGUUAAUUGAUGGGGUCAGCGCAAGCGAAGCUCUUGAUCGAAGCCCCGGUAAACGGCGGCCGUAACUAUAACGGUCCUAAGGUAGCGAAAUUCCUUGUCGGGUAAGUUCCGACCUGCACGAAUGGCGUAAUGAUGGCCAGGCUGUCUCCACCCGAGACUCAGUGAAAUUGAACUCGCUGUGAAGAUGCAGUGUACCCGCGGCAAGACGGAAAGACCCCGUGAACCUUUACUAUAGCUUGACACUGAACAUUGAGCCUUGAUGUGUAGGAUAGGUGGGAGGCUUUGAAGUGUGGACGCCAGUCUGCAUGGAGCCGACCUUGAAAUACCACCCUUUAAUGUUUGAUGUUCUAACGUGGACCCGUGAUCCGGGUUGCGGACAGUGUCUGGUGGGUAGUUUGACUGGGGCGGUCUCCUCCUAAAGAGUAACGGAGGAGCACGAAGGUUGGCUAAUCCUGGUCGGACAUCAGGAGGUUAGUGCAAUGGCAUAAGCCAGCUUGACUGCGAGCGUGACGGCGCGAGCAGGUGCGAAAGCAGGUCAUAGUGAUCCGGUGGUUCUGAAUGGAAGGGCCAUCGCUCAACGGAUAAAAGGUACUCCGGGGAUAACAGGCUGAUACCGCCCAAGAGUUCAUAUCGACGGCGGUGUUUGGCACCUCGAUGUCGGCUCAUCACAUCCUGGGGCUGAAGUAGGUCCCAAGGGUAUGGCUGUUCGCCAUUUAAAGUGGUACGCGAGCUGGGUUUAGAACGUCGUGAGACAGUUCGGUCCCUAUCUGCCGUGGGCGCUGGAGAACUGAGGGGGGCUGCUCCUAGUACGAGAGGACCGGAGUGGACGCAUCACUGGUGUUCGGGUUGUCAUGCCAAUGGCACUGCCCGGUAGCUAAAUGCGGAAGAGAUAAGUGCUGAAAGCAUCUAAGCACGAAACUUGCCCCGAGAUGAGUUCUCCCUGACUCCUUGA